UACGUAGGCCGCGAGCGUUGUUCGGAAUUACUGGGCGUAAAGAGUGUGUAGGCGGUGUUCCCAGUCUGUUGUGAAAUCUCCCGGCUUAACUGGGAGGGUGCAGCGGAAACUAGAAUGCUAGAGGGUGGGAGAGGUAAGCGGAAUUCCUGGUGUAGCGGUGAAAUGCGUAGAUAUCAGGAGGAACACCUGUGGUGUAGACAGCUUACUGGACCACUUCUGACGCUGAGACACGAAAGCGUGGGUAGCAAACAGG
rnacentral:rRNA from 1 species